GAUGAACGCUAGCUACAGGCUUAACACAUGCAAGUCGCAGGGUAACAUGAGGAAAGCUUGCUUUCCUUGAUGACGACUGGCGCACGGGUGAGUAACGCGUAUCCAACCUUCCCAUAACUACGGGAUAACCCGUUGAAAGACGGCCUAAUACCGUAUGAUAUCGUUUGCUGACAUCAAAUAACGAUUAAAGGUUUAGCGGUUAUGGAUGGGGAUGCGUCUGAUUAGCUUGUUGGCGGGGUAACGGCCCACCAAGGCGACGAUCAGUAGGGGUUCUGAGAGGAAGGUCCCCCACAUUGGAACUGAGACACGGUCCAAACUCCUACGGGAGGCAGCAGUGAGGAAUAUUGGUCAAUGGGCGAGAGCCUGAACCAGCCAAGUAGCGUGCAGGACGACGGCCCUAUGGGUUGUAAACUGCUUUUAUGGGGGGAUAAAGUGCGUGACGUGUCAUGCAUUGCAGGUACCACAUGAAUAAGGACCGGCUAAUUCCGUG
rnacentral:rRNA from 1 species